rfam:Eubacterium cylindroides T2-87 draft genome.
AUAAAGGCUAUGAAAAGGACGAGUAUCUUAGGAUAAUGUUACAGAGAGCUUUUGGUUGGUGGAAAAAAGCACAGGACCUUUGAGAAUAAAACCUUGGAGCUGUAUGUAAUUCCUGCAUUAAAGGAAGCACUGUUAAUUGACAGUGGCAGAGGUUUUCUAGAGUGAUCUGGAAGACAAACUAGGGUGGUAACACGAGCAUUUCGUCCCUAUG